rnacentral:rRNA from 1 species
CCUGGUGUCUCUAGCGACAGGGUCACACCCGAUCCCAUUCCGAACUCGGAAGUUAAGCCUGUCUGCGCCGAUGGUAGCCGGCGGCACAGCCCGCAAGAGUAGGUCGAUGCCAGGA